rnacentral:rRNA from 1 species
GGACGAACGCUGGCGGCGUGCCUAAUGAAUGCGAGUCGAACGGAACAUAGAGAUCGUGAUUGCUUUCGGGCGGUCACCCUUUAUGUUUAGUGGCAAACGGGUGAGUAACACGUGGAUAACGUGCCUUCAAGCCGAGGAUAACAGGGCGAAAGUCCUGCUAAUACUCGAUGGUCUGCCCCUGCUUUGGCGGGGACCAGUAAAGCUCCGGCGCUUGGAGAUCGGUCCGCGGUCCAUUAGCUUGUUGGUGGGGUAAUGGCCCACCAAGGCGACAAUGGGUAGCUGGUCUGAGAGGACGAUCAGCCACACUGGGACUGAGACAUGGUCCAGACUCCUACGGGAGUUAGCAUCCGGGAAUCUUGCACAAUGGGCGCAAGCCUGAUGCAGCGACGCCGCGUGGGUGAUGAAGGUCUGCGGAUCGUAAAGCCCUGUCAGGAGGGACGACACCCGACUGUACCUCCAAAGGAAGCCCCGGCUAACUACGUGCCAGCAGCCGCGGUAAAACGUAGGGGGCUAGCGUUGUCCGGAAUUACUGGGCGUAAAGGGCACGCAGGCGGUCUGUAAAGCGGUGGGUGCAAUCUCGAGGCUCAACCUCGAAACUGCUUGCCGAACUGGCAGACUAGAGCACGGGAGAGGACAGUGGAAUUCCCGGUGUAGCGGUGGAAUGCGUAAAUAUCGGGAGGAACACCAGUGGCGAAGGCUGCUGUCUGGAACGUUGCUGACGCUGAGGUGCGAAAGCUAGGGGAGCGAACGGGAUUAGAUACCCCGGUAGUCCUAGCCGUAAACGAUGCUCACUAGGUGUUGCCGGCAUUAACCCCGGCAGUGCUGUUCUGCUAACGCGCUAAGUGAGCCGCCUGGGGGAGUACGGCCGCAAGGCUGAAACUCC